AGAAUGGGGGCGUGCUAUACUGCAAGUCGAGCGGACAGAUGGGAGCUUGCUCCCUGAUGUUAGCGGCGGACGGGUGAGUAACACGUGGGUAACCUGCCUGUAAGACUGGGAUAACUCCGGGAAACCGGGGCUAAUACCGGAUGGUUGUUUGAACCGCAUGGUUCAAACAUAAAAGGUGGCUUCGGCUACCACUUACAGAUGGACCCGCGGCGCAUUAGCUAGUUGGUGAGGUAACGGCUCACCAAGGCAACGAUGCGUAGCCGACCUGAGAGGGUGAUCGGCCACACUGGGACUGAGACACGGCCCAGACUCCUACGGGAGGCAGCAGUAGGGAAUCUUCCGCAAUGGACGAAAGUCUGACGGAGCAACGCCGCGUGAGUGAUGAAGGUUUUCGGAUCGUAAAGCUCUGUUGUUAGGGAAGAACAAGUACCGUUCGAAUAGGGCGGUACCUUGACGGUACCUAACCAGAAAGCCACGGCUAACUACGUGCCAGCAGCCGCGGUAAUACGUAGGUGGCAAGCGUUGUCCGGAAUUAUUGGGCGUAAAGGGCUCGCAGGCGGUUUCUUAAGUCUGAUGUGAAAGCCCCCGGCUCAACCGGGGAGGGUCAUUGGAAACUGGGGAACUUGAGUGCAGAAGAGGAGAGUGGAAUUCCACGUGUAGCGGUGAAAUGCGUAGAGAUGUGGAGGAACACCAGUGGCGAAGGCGACUCUCUGGUUUGUAACUGACGCUGAGGAGCGAAAGCGUGGGGGAGCGAAACA
rnacentral:rRNA from 1 species